GCGGGGGUGGGGCGGGCCCGAGACUGGCUGAGGGACCGAGCGGGAGCGACCUCGGCCCAGAAGCGUCCGGCCCGUGGCGGCAGCAGCUCCCCAGGCACCGCUCGCCAGCCCGAGCCCGCCACAGCCCUGUGGGACACAGCCCGUCCCCGUGUGCCCGGACCCACCUGAGGCUGAGCCGGGCCGUGUGUCCCUGCAGCCUGGAGAGGCCGCCACGGGUCCAGGAGCUGUGUUCUCGUGUCCUGACAUCUGCAACACGUGAUGGGCUUGUAGGAGCUGCUUGGACCAGCAGGAAAUGAGGAACUGCCUUGAGGAAUGGAGGUCUCCAGAGACCACAGGAAUACCUCAAGACAGGAAGACUGAUGAUUGCUUCAAACCCGACCAGCAGACUAAAUAUGUCAAAUAAACCAGAAUUUUCAGAGGUGGCAGUACCAGCUGAGGGCUGUGUUAUCGGCUGCUAAAGCAAGACACUGAUUCUGAAAAGCAAUAUAAAACGACAGGAGCUCCAGGAGAGCAAUUGUCAUAGGAGUUUACAUUCUCAAAUAAAUG